CGGGCGGUGUACUCCCAGAUGGCGUCGCCGUCGAGCAGUGCCCCGUCGCCGAAGUAGGCGCCGUCGGCGAGGACGCCGAGGGACUCGUCUUCCCCGUAGGGGCCGGUGCCGACCUUCUCGACCCUGCCGUGCGCCAGCAGAUACACGGUGUCGGUCCGGCUGCCGAAGGAGGCGAUCACGUCACCCGGGGCGAACUCCCGCUGCUCACAGCGCUGGGCGAGUUCGGAGAGCACCUCUUCGUCCUCGUAGGACCGCAGCGCGGGAAGCUCUCCCAGCUCGGCGGGGACGACCUCGACGCGGUCACCGGUCUUGACGAACGUCACCCGGCCGUCGCCCACGGCGAAGGAAAGCCUGCGGUUGACCCGGUACGUACCGCCCUUGACGUCCACCCAGGGCAGCGUGCGCAGCAGCCAGCGAGAGCUGAUCUCCUGCAUCUGGGGUACGGACUUGGUCGUGGUGGCCAGGUUCCGCGCGGCCGCAGUUCCCAGACUCUGCUGCGGCCUG
rnacentral:antisense_RNA from 1 species